UACGUAGGGACCAAGCGUUGUUCGGAUUUACUGGGCGUAAAGGGCGCGUAGGCGGCUUAACAAGUCACUUGUGAAAUCUCCGGGCUUAACUCGGAACGGCCAAGUGAAACUGUCAAGCUAGAGUGCGGAAGGGGCAAUCGGAAUUCUUGGUGUAGCGGUGAAAUGCGUAGAUAUCAAGAGGAACACCUGAGGUGAAGACGGGUUGCCUGGGCCGACACUGACGCUGAUGCGCGAAAGCCAGGGGAGCAAACGGG
rnacentral:rRNA from 1 species